AACGAACGCUGGCGGCAUGCCUAACACAUGCAAGUCGAACGAGACCUUCGGGUCUAGUGGCGCACGGGUGCGUAACGCGUGGGAACCUGCCCUUAGGUUCGGAAUAACUCCCCGAAAGGGGUGCUAAUACCGGAUAAUGUCUUCGGACCAAAGAUUUAUCGCCUUUGGAUGGGCCCGCGUUGGAUUAGCUAGUUGGUAGGGUAAAAGCCUACCAAGGCGACGAUCCAUAGCUGGUCUGAGAGGAUGAUCAGCCACACUGGGACUGAGACACGGCCCAGACUCCUACGGGAGGCAGCAGUGGGGAAUAUUGGAAAAUGGGCGAAAGCAUGAUCGAGCAAGGCCGGGUGAGUGAUGAAGGCCUUAGGGUUGUAAAGCUCUUUUACCCGGGAUGAUAAUGACAGUACCGGGAGAAUAAGCUCCGGCUAACUCCGUG
rnacentral:rRNA from 1 species